ACAGAAUCAGACUCGACCAGUAUUGGAUAAAUACCAGGAUAAAUUAAUCAAGAUUGAUGCCAGCAGGAACGCAGAGGAUGUUACUGCAGAUAUCAUGGCAAAAAUAUAAUUCAGAAAAAUUCGAGAAAGUUUUUCAGCUUUUGUUGAUCAUUUUUCUGUAAAGAUGGACCGGAAAUGUUGAUAUAUUUGUAUUGUGUUUAUGUAAUUGAACGAACACACUUUUUAUUUUUUUUCUCGUGUAUUUACUUAAUAAAUCCAAAGAUUUUUUUA